AAAAAAGAUUAGUAAUUUUUUGUAUUUUUUUUUUUUCAUCGCGACCUGUCAAAAUUUCGUAGUUUUGAGAAUCAAUAUUUUGAAUUUGAAUGCACACCCGAACAAAGCAGCCACAAGAGCAGCAUUUUUCGUCAGCAGCCAUCUAUCUACUUGAUAAGUUUUCAUCAACAACAACCAGCUGGUAAAAUUCACGGGAAAUAAUUUUUUUUGGAUAAUAAACAGUCGGUGGUAAAAUGUAUCAGUGUGCCCCAUGGGUAGGAACUAUGAAACACGAUGUCGUCUAUAGUGAAAUAUUCUACUUAUAAAUUUUAUUCUCUUGUUUUGACGAAGAAUGAUGCUAACGCUUUGAAUUAAAGUUAUAUUGAGGCGAAAAUCGUUUGUUUACGAAAGAAUCCACUAUAUCAUCGUGUAACAUCGAACCACCAUAUAUACAUAUUAGCUGCAAUCCUGAAAUAAGAGACAAUUUCUACAAAACUUGCCCAAAUUUACUAAUUUUGCACUAUAUGAGUAGUAUUUACUGUGGAAAAUCGGAACCCAUUCACAUUUCGAGACAGACCACAAAAACAAACAAAAAAACACUGUUCCCCAUACACCAUCGUUUCACAGUUACCCAAUGGGUCUAUUCAUGAAAAUUGUGAAAUUACACAGAACCAUGAGAAGUUAAGCUUAGUAUGCACCUCUUGCGAAAUGAGCUCGCGAAAUAUUUCUCCUUUUUUCGUACGGAAUUUUGACAUUUGUACGCGAAAUUUUGACAGAUUUGUUUUUGUGUGUUUACUGUCAGAUGUCGCUUCUGGCCACCCCGGCAACACAUCAGCUGUUGUUUACAUAUAUUGAUGAAUACCUAUAAGAGGUUAAUACCAAAUAUUAACUGUUUGGUUAAUAAUUAACAAAACAAAGAUACUUUGUAAUUGAAAAUUAAUCGGUUAGUUAUUUUAUCUUGGUGAUCCACUGCCUGAGGAAUGCGUUUAUAUUAGUUUUUUUCAUCUACAGGUUGGGCUUGGCCUGUGAUUUCCACUCUCACAAAAUCAUUAUUUCCGAAGUUUUCUAGGAUCGGCACCUCGCCUAAUGAAGUUAACAAUUCUUUACUAUACGGAUACGAAGAAUGAAAACACCGAUAAAGUUUUGUAAACUGUCGAAGGCUGCCGACACGCUACGAAGGAAUAUGUGGGAGAUCAUUUGCUCUGAGCGGUAGAUUCAAUAUUGUAAAUGCAAUGUAAACAUUUUAAUAUUUAAAUUUUCUCUGCAACUUUCAUCACAAUUAGAAGAGAUAAACGAAUGUAUGUUCUUGAUACUCUGUACUUUGCUACGCAAUGGUUGGUGCGAAAUUAUAUCAAUCACUUCCAUUGAUUGCCUAAAUUCUCUCCAAAUCCGAAUAGGUGAUUUUUAAACGACCCUCCUAAACUUGUAGGUGUUGGACCCUCAAAUAGAACUGUAAAGGGGCGAAACCUUCAUCUACAAACCAACUUGGGAUAGUAAAACGCAUCAGUUUCAAAAAAAUAUUGAUAUUCGGGAGUUACCUUGUUGAAGCAGUCUUUGUUAUUUUGAAUUCGUAUUUUUUUAACCUGAAUGAUGGAAAACCUUAAAAUUAUUUCUUAGCAAAUCAGAAACUAUGAGCCCUAUUCUCACAGUCACGACACUUAGUGAUUAAAAGGAAAUUUUCUUCUAGUCACUAGGUGACGUGACUGUGAGAAUAUGGCUCUAUGAUGAUAUCUACACAUGUUUCAGAUAAUCCAAUAACUCCCUGGAGCACAGAUCUUAAGAUCUACGGCCGUCAUCUGCGAUCUCUUGUUAGUUUUUCUACUCAACAUUACGUCGCAGAGGUGCUUUUUUGUUUUUCUGGAUGUGUUGAUAAGAUAUUUUAACGCAUAUUUCUAUAAAUUUACCCUAUAAACAUAAGGGGCCGUUCACAUUCCACGUGGACAAAAAACCUUCGUUUUUAACCCCUCACCCCCCCCCCCCCCCUCCCUUCGAUGUCCACGUGGACUUUCCAAUUU